rnacentral:rRNA from 1 species
GAUGAACGCUGGCGGCGUGCCUAAUACAUGCAAGUCGAACGAAAGUACGAGAACCCCGCUUUUCUGCUGUUACCGAUGAAGGGUUGAGUAACAACUGGUUAACCAACCUAUAAGAACCCGACACCUACGAGGAACUGAACCCAAUAAAGCAGGAUAUUUUACACCUCAAGUUUCAAAAACGCAUUACGGUUUUUUCAUAACUGAUAAUUCUAUCCCCGCUGCAUUGGCUAGUUGGUAGGGUAACGGCUUACCAAGGCAACGAUGCGUAGCCGACCUGAGAGGUUGAUCGGCCACACUGGAACUGAGACACGGUCCAGACUCCUACGGGAGGCAGCAGUAGGGAAUCUUCCGCAAUGGGCGAAAGCCUGACGGAGCAACGCCGCGUGAGUGAUGAAGGUCUUCGGAUCGUAAAACUCUGUUGUUAGAGAAGAACGUAUGUGUAAGUAACUGUGCACAUCUGGACGGUACCUAAUCAGAAAGCCACGGCUAACUACGUG